UUUGAGGCAUUUCCUCGAACAGAUGGCGGGCAUGAAUUGCCCAGCCAUCCAGCCCUUGCAGGGGUCAAUUUUUCUUCCUCUAGUGGCGGAUUCCGGAGUUGCAGGGGUCAAUUGACCACCCUUUCUCCUCUGUGGAUCCGUCCCUGGUUGAUCAACAUAUUAAUUAUUUUCCUUCAUGUUUUCUAAUCUGUUGCUUUUAAAUGGCAUCAACUUUUCCAAUGUUGUUUGUUUGAGUGUGUUAUUGAAUUCUCUUUCUUCUUAAUAGUUUGAAAGGAAAACUUCAACAAAUGGACAACCUGCUGCUCGAGGGGACAUAGUCAUGUCGCAUAUCUCAGCUUUUGAGAAACUGGAUCUAGAGCUUAUAAAGAGAGAAAAAAUACAGAAAAAAUUUUCAUUCGCAGCCCAGAUCAGAGCUGCCAAAAACAAACGAAUGGAAUUAACUAUGGAAGCCUCAUCCUCUGUUCAUGCGGCCAACAAGAAACCAGGGGAGUAUGCUUAAAUUUCCACAUCCCUAGCAGCAGUUGAAAUAGAGGAAGAGAAAAUAUCGGACUCUUGGAUGCAUAUUUCCAACUAGUCGCAAGAGUCCGGUCAUUUGUUUUCAGGGCUUCAUUCCAAUGUUAUAUGGAAGAGGUCCAUCUGGCGACAGUGCAGCGUUUUUAUGUGAAAAAUUUGUUAGGGGUUGUGUGAUGGAUGCAAACUCCACAAUAGAGCCCCAAGGUUUUUUAAGUUAAACAUGGAAGAAAGAAAACCAUGAGUUGUGAGAUUUGUAGUGUAUUUUCUCCGAAAUAAAUUGGACAGCAGCAUCAUAUAUUAUCUUUUCUUUUCUUCAAAUCUGUCAGAAACAGCAUACUGAGGAGUUCAUAACGAUGUUGUAGUUUUUUUCCUGCAGCU